CCUACGGGAGGCAGCAGUGAGGAAUAUUGGUCAAUGGGAGAGAUCCUGAACCAGCCAAGCCGCGUGAGGGAAGACGGCCCUAUGCGUUGUAAACCUCUUUUGUCGGAGAACAAAACCCGGGACGAGUCCCGGACUGCGUGUAUCCGUAGAAAAAGCCUCGGCUAACUCCGUGCCAGCAGCCGCGGUAAUACGGAGGAUGCGAGCGUUAUCCGGGUUGAUUGGGUUUAAAGGGUGCGUAGGCGGGCUGUUAAGUCCGCGGUAAAGUCGCGGGGCUCAACCCCGUCGAGCCGUUGAAACUGGCAGACUUGAGUGGGCGAGAAGUACGCGGAAUGCGCGGUGUAGCGGUGAAAUGCAUAGACAUCGCGCAGAACUCCGAUGGCGAAGGCAGCGUACCGGCGCCAGACUGACGCUGAGGCACGAAAGCGUGGGGAUCGAACAGGAUUAGAUACCCGAGUAGUC
rnacentral:rRNA from 1 species